UACGUAGGGUGCGAGCGUUGUCCGGAAUUAUUGGGCGUAAAGGGCUCGUAGGCGGUCUGCUGCGUCAGGAGUGAAAACUCGGGGCUUAACCCCGAGCCUGCUUCUGAUACGGGCAGACUAGAGGUAUGCAGGGGAGAACGGAAUUCCUGGUGUAGCGGUGAAAUGCGUAGAUAUCGAGAGGAACACCUGCGGCGAAGGCGGGUUGCUGGGCUGAUACUGACGCUGAGGCGCGAAAGCCAGGGGAGCGAACGGG
rnacentral:rRNA from 1 species